AAAUAAAAAUGUCAGCCGCGUAAUAGUGCCUAAAUUUAGCACUUUUCUAAACGAAGAGCGCUCGCGGGGACAAUUUGAUUAAUAAACUGUUGAGUCGGCGCCCUGUCCCUGUCCCUGUGCACACAGCUUACGAAUGAUAGCCGCGAUCUACAAACAACUUUUGCUAAACUAAUUUGGAUAUUAAUAUUAUUGAAAAUAUUUUGACACAAUUGGUUGUAUAUCAACCACAGCUAUGCUCCUACGUUUGAUUUUUUUAGAUUUUUUAAUUAUUAUAACAGUUAGGUUCAUUUAAAAUUUGUAUGAAAUCUCUUAUUCGCUCCUAAUUUUUACAAUAAUUUAAAAAAAUUAAGAAACGCAAAUUAGGGUCAUAGCUAUGGUCAAUAUACAUCAAAUUAUCCAAAAAUAUUAUCCAUUAUGUCAAUAUCCAGAGAGGAAAAUGGGGACUACGUUUGUAUGGAGAAGCGGCCGUCCCCUUUCCUCUUAAGACUAGACGAAUAGUGCUACGUAGCUAAAAAUAUUAUAAAAAAUAUACAUUUAAACUACCACGAGUGUUUGUCAUCCUCCGUGCUAGCACGCCGCUCUCUUAAACUCCGUAUUUAAUACCUUAGCUAAAAUAUUCCAAGCUUAAUAAAAUACAACUUUAAUAAAAUAGUCCAAGUUUGAUUGUAACCAGGACUAUCGCUGCCAUGAGGCUACAUGGUUUAAUAGAAUGGUAAACAUUUCGUGCUAAUCCUAAAAUUGUGGCCUCAGUCCAAAAUAGCCCGCGGUAGUGCGAACAUCGCGUGUGAUAUUGUUUGUACCGGCGAUAUGGGCUUGGCCGGGGUUAAAAAUGAUGUCAAAACAUUAUUCCUUAUUAUCAACACGCUUGUUGGGUUAUUUCCUGGGUUUCUCGUGUUGUCAUAUGGCCUCGCAGACGGAAUCAACUGGGGGAUGAGACACGGACACGCCCCCACCACCAUCGUGUGCGGCGUGGUCGGGUUCCUGAUCCUCGGUGUCACUACCCUCGGCUACUGCGCGGCCAUCAAGGAAAAUAGGGUCAUGCUGUACAUAUACUCUGGUGUCAUGGCGCUGGCAGCAGUGAUAAACCUCGUGUCACUGUUUCUGAUCGAGCACGUAGAUAUAACAGUGACAGCGGCACCGAUCCUUAAUAUCGGCGGAGCGCUGCUGGCAUUGGCACUGGCGAUUAUCCUGGCGGGUCUGACACGAAGCGGCGUCAACCAAGGCUGUGUGCUGAGCCCGCCACCGUCCACGUACACACCUAACAUUUAAUCUGUUUCAUUAUCCUGGCGGGUCUGACACGUAACGGUGUCAACCAAGGUUGUGUGCAGAGCCCGCCGCCGUCCAAAUACACACCUAACAUUUAAUCUGUUUCAUUAUCCUGGGGGGUUUGACACAUAACGGUGUCAACCAAGGCUGAUGUGUGCUGAGCCCGCCGCUGUCCACGUACACACCUAACAUUUAAUCUGUUUCAUUAUCCUGGCGGGUCUGACACAUAACGGUGUCAACCAAGGCUGUGUGCUGAGCCCGCCGCCGUCCACGUACACACCUAACAUUUAAUCUGUUUCAUUAUCCUGGGGGGUCUGACACAUACCGGUGUCAACCAAGGCUGUGUGCUGAGCCCGCCGCCGUCCACGUACACACCUAACAUUUAAUCUGUUUCAUUAUCCUGGGGGGUCUGACACAUAACGGUGUCAACCAAGGCUGUGUGCUGAGCCCGCCGCCGUCCACGUACACACCUAACAUUUAAUCUGUUUCAUUAUCCUGGGGGGCCUGACACAUAACGGUGUCAACCAAGGCUGUGUGCUGAGCCCGCCGCCGUCCACGUGCACACCUAACAUUUAAUCUGUUUCAUUAUCCUGGCGGGUCUGACACGUAACGGUGUCAAACAAGGCUGUGUGCUGAGCCCGCCGCCGUCCACGUACACUACACACCUAACAUUUAAUCUGUUUCAUUAUCUUGACGGGUCUGACACGCAACCGAGUCAACCUAGGCUGCGUGCUCAUCUCGCCGCGUAUCCAGUUACACACCUAAAAUUUAAUAUUGUAUAUAUGUUAUGUCGCUAUGUCGUUUCAUUUCUUACGUCGCGUGGGUAAUUUGCAAAUAAUAGCCGUUAAUUACGGGUAGGCUAGAUAUAUGGGAGUGGGUAAUGUCAGCAUCAAAAGUAACGCAGACUACUUAUCAUAAAGAGAUAUAUUAUAUCUAUGUAGAACACACACACAAACACACACAGACAACUUUUUUGUGCAUUCUUUCAAUAUAAGAUUACCUAUUGGAUGUACUUCUCUCUUAAUAAUGUUACCUAGUUUUUAAUUAACAUAUCUAUGAUUGUAUAUUGACAGAGUAACUAGCUAUUUUAUGUAAAGGUUAAACCCGUCACAGACGGACGGUAAUAUACCGUAAGAUACCGACGGAUGCCGACAGAUAUCUUAGAGUAUAGCUAGGCACCACACACCAAAACCACCACCACAAAACCAUACCAAAAUGUAUAUCGCUGUCUGUCUAGCACCUACAUUGUGUUGUGAGAGAGACGAAAUAUAUUCGAGAUAUAUAAAAAUAUAUUUAUCGCAAGGUAUCUUAAGAAGCCUUGUUAUUGUUCUUGUUACACAGGUAAAUAUUUACUUAAAAAGAGGUACUAAACACAUCUGUAAAUUAUAUGUUAUCUGUAAAUUACUCUUGAUUGAAUAAAUAUAUAUAUAUAUAUAUAUAUUUUUAAUUUAAUGUCAUUGUAAGAUACCAAAAUAUUAUAGCUUCGUGUGUGGACUCUGUCGAAUGGUACGUAAAAUAUACCUAUCGUAAGAUGCCUUGCAAUAACAUAUCUUUUGGUACGUAUAUUAUCGCUCCGUCUGUGACGGGCUAGUUUGGUGGCAUUCGAUUAUCAUCACGAGAUUAUUCUUUAACUUUAUGAAUAAAUAUAAUUUGAAUGUGAAAUAGGAAUAUUCUGCUGGCGCGGACCAGCUACUUUUCUAUUUUAACUCUUUAAUUCUUUAGAUAUAAAUUUUUUACACCCACCUCGGCUAAUAGCACCUAUUGUACCUACCGAUAUUUUGUAUAAUAUAAUAUAAUUCCCAAAAACCUUACCGUGUUUUUACAAGCUUUUAUUUACUUUCACCUGACCGUUGUUUGUAAUCAAAUCUUGCAAGUUAAAUUUGACCCACUUCCCGGUUUCCGAUGAAGCUGAAAAUUUGCAUACGUAUGUAAGUCGGGUGACAAUGCAAUAUUAUGGUAUCAUCGAGAUGAUCUGAUGAUGGAGACAGGAGGUGGCCAUAGGAACUCUGUGAUAAAACAACGUAACCUAAUUGUGUUUGGGGUUUUUAGAAUUGUCUCGAUGAGUAUUAGUUACUUGUGGAAAGAAAAGUACAGUCAGCGAUAAAAGUUAGUACCAAAAAUAAAAUUUUUGCCAAAAAACUUAUUCUUCGUUUUGAGAGUAAUUAUACUUCAUAGCCUUAAAAAUUAGAAUAUAUAUAGGUCUUUGCACCUCGGUAUUUUAUAAAGCAAGUACAAGAUCACAACUGGAGUCCAAUACGGGGCUCGGAACCGCUUACAGAGUUUUCACAUUGUCCGAUUUGGAAUGAAAGGCAAGCGGACCCCAGGCCCUCAUGAGCCGUGGCAAAAGCCGGGACAAGACAGCGUUAGGAAGAUGAUGAUUUAAGGAGAAACAUUAGUGGUCAAUUUUACACACAAACGUGCUCGUCAUUUUGGACUUUGGCCCUAGAUUCAUAUUUUUUUUAUAUAAGUUCAAUAUUACCCGUACCUGUGUCUGUACGGUUUGCUUUUUUGAUAGAAUAUUUUUAUAAGAACUAGGCUUCUUUCAAAAACGCUAAAAACUGCCAUAUAAAUGCGCCAUACGUUGCUAGGCGUCUGCCUAGCAUACAAAGUCGGCAACAAUAAAAGCAAAAAUCAAACCGGUCAGACACAGAUAAUAUCUUUCUCAACCCGUUCCCAAAAUUUCGUUACGAUUGGUUAAGUUUUAGAAGAGGAAAAUGUCAAGAAUCAAACCUCCAUUUCUGAGAUUUUUACUAAUUUUGGAGCCGCCCCCGUCAGUGCAAUGGAGAUAUUCCUGUAGUUGACUCUGUUCACCCAGCUCAAAUCACCUGGUUCAAUUAAGUAAACUAAAAAUACACUUUAUUCACCUUUACGUCAUUGUCAAAUUUGUGACAUAUUUUUCGUUUACUUAUUUACCUAAAAUUCUCCAAUAUUAAAAGAGGCUUAGCUGGUAUUUCCUUUUAAGACUGUGUGGCUGCUUCUUAUACAAAUAAAGUGCCAGUUGUAAAUUUCAUUAGCGGCGGUGCCCUAGCUUUAGCGUUAUCAGUUAAAAUAGUGCUCGGUGGCGUAAACGUCGCAUGUGUCUCACAUAUUAUAAAAAAAAUAGUAACAUUAGUAUUAUAAAAGACAGUUUUACACUGAUCGAUCGUGUCCCACAGUAAGCUCUAUAAAGGUUAAUAAAACAAACACUAGCACCAUGGGCUUAGUCGGGGUUCAAAAUGAUGUUAAAAUACUAUUUUAUAUUGUGAACUCACUUAUCGGGUUAGUCCCCGGAUUCCUGACGUUCUCUUACGGCGUGGCGUUCGGAGUCAACUUCGGGAUGCAAUUCGGACCGUUCCCCUUGGUCCUCGUAGUAACUGGGAUCCUAGUGCUGGGCGCCACCGCGCUCGGCUACUUCGGGGCCAUCAAAGAACACAGGAUAACGCUUUACAUUUAUUCCGGUCUGUUGGCACUGGCAGCGGUGGGAGACCUCGUGACGUACGUGGUGAUGGAGCCUACGAACCCCAGGAGGGACCCUACAUUGCUGGCUACGCCCCUCGUGCAUCUUGGCCUAUCCUUACUGGCGCUAGGUCUGGCUGUUACCCUAGCGAGACGAGCUCGCAAUGAUGAUGAUGUCAACUACGAGUAGAAGUGUUUGCACAAUGUCCGAUACGAUAUCGGAGGUCGGAUGAUCUUUGGAGAAACGCAACUGCUAAAGAGUAUAGGAUUAAGUACUUCUUUUUGGUUUCACGUUAUUGAACAAUAAAUAAAUAAAUAUUGUAGGAGACAAUUUGACUAAGUUCCACAGUAAGCUCAAUAAGGCUUAUGAUGUAGGUACUUUUUAGAUUUUAUUCUACGACUUUGUCGGCUUUAUUGAUUUAUAUAUCCAUGCCAAAUUUCGGCUUUCUAGCACUAACGACCACGGAGCAAAGCCUCGGACUGACAGACAGACGGACAUGGCGAAACUAUAAGGGUUCCUAGUUGACUACGGAACCCUAAAAAGGGGCUCGUGGUCGUAUCCGACUUCCGAUCGGACUAUGUGAAAAUGCUCUAAGGCUGCGCACUUCACCCGCCGCCGCCGCGCCGCGUAGAAGUGUCUUGAAAUAAAUAGAUGUUGUAGGACAAUUUUACUCAAAUUUGCUCAGACUAAAGUAAGCUCAAUAAGCCGUGUACACAUUUUGUAUGGUUCAAUUAACACGAAAGUGGAAAACCUGCGCGAUAUCACCUUUUCGUACAAACGUAGUCCUCAUUUUCCACUCUGGAUAAUUAGUGGAUAUUAAUAUUAUUGAAAAUAUUUUGACACAAUUUGUUAUAUAUUAAUAUCAAUCACAGCGAUGCCCCUAUGUUUGAUAUCUUUCGGAUUUUUUAUUUAAUUACAAGAAUUAGGAGCAUUUAAGAAUUUGUAUGAAAUCUGUUUAUGCUUCUAACUUUUACAAUAAUCAAAAAUCUAAAAAAGUCAUCGCUUAUGUAAAAAUAUUUUCUAUAAUGUCAACAUCCAGAGAGGAAAAUGGGAACUGCGUUUGUAUGGAGAAACGGCCGUCCUCUUUCUUCUUAAGUUCUAUCUGUAAGUACCUAAGCUGCUAUUUACCUAUGCUACCUCACGACCUAAUAUUGGACCUAACUGGAAAUGUUGUAUGACUUAAUUAAAUUUAAAUAAUACUCUGUAGGUACCACAUAAGCUAUCUGUGCCCCUAGUGUAUAUUUAAUCGAUAGCGUGACGUGACGUACGCGUCUGCGUUAAGUCUCAUUUUGUAUGGGAUUUUGAGUUUCCAUAACGUUCCGCUUGGCGUGCUGUUUCUAAAUCCCAUACUAAAUGAGACUUAACGCAAACGCGUACGUCACGUCACGCCGAUUAAAUUUACACUAGGGGCACAGAUCUACCUAAGCUGAGGUAGCAUUGUACCUAAUAAAUUUUCUCAUUUUCUGAUUAUAUACUCGUACGUAUCUUAUCCGUCCGACGACGAUGCGAAAAAUGUCACAUCGAUAAAAAACUUUUAACAAUAAACAUAUACGUAUAUUUGUAA